CACGUAGGGGGCAAGCGUUGUCCGGAUUUAUUGGGCGUAAAGAGCUCGUAGGCGGUUCGGUAAGUCGGGUGUGAAACCUCCAGGCUCAACCUGGAGACGCCACCCGAUACUGCUGUGACUAGAGUCCGGUAGGGGAGCGUGGAAUUCCUGGUGUAGCGGUGAAAUGCGCAGAUAUCAGGAGGAACACCAAUGGCGAAGGCAGCUUGCUGGGACGGUACUGACGCUGAGGAGCGAAAGCGUGGGGAGCAAACAGG
rnacentral:rRNA from 1 species